rnacentral:piRNA from 1 species
CAAGUUCUGUCUUGUGAUCCUUUGCU